rnacentral:rRNA from 1 species
ACGGAAGGCAGCAGUGAGGAAUAUUGGUCAAUGGACGGAAGUCUGAACCAGCCAAGUCGCGUGCGGGACGAAGGCCCUACGGGUCGUAAACCGCUUUUGUACGGGGAUAAAGUCACCCACGUGUGGGUGUUUGUAGGUACCGUAAGAAUAAGGAUCGGCUAACUCCGUGCCAGCAGCCGCGGUAAUACGGAGGAUCCGAGCGUUAUCCGGAUUUAUUGGGUUUAAAGGGAGCGUAGGCCGUGCUUUAAGCGUGUUGUGAAAUGUAGGCGCCCAACGUCUGCACUGCAGCGCGAACUGGAGCACUUGAGUACGCAGGAAGUAGGCGGAAUUCGUCGUGUAGCGGUGAAAUGCUUAGAUAUGACGAAGAACUCCGAUUGGGAAGCCAGCUUACUGUAGCGCCACUGACGCUGAUGCUCGAAAGCGUGGGUAUCGAACAGGAUUAGAUACCCUGGUA